UACGGAGGGUGCAAGCGUUAUCCGGAUUUAUUGGGUUUAAAGGGUCCGUAGGCGGAUCUGUAAGUCAGUGGUGAAAUCUCAUAGCUUAACUAUGAAACUGCCAUUGAUACUGCAGGUCUUGAGUAAGGUAGAAGUGGCUGGAAUAAGUAGUGUAGCGGUGAAAUGCAUAGAUAUUACUUAGAACACCAAUUGCGAAGGCAGGUCACUAAUGUCUUAACUGACGCUGAUGGACGAAAGCGUGGGGAGCGAACAGG
rnacentral:rRNA from 1 species